CCAGACUCCUACGGGAGGCAGCAGUGAGGAAUAUUGGUCAAUGGGCGAGAGCCUGAACCAGCCAAGUCGCGUGAAGGACGACGGUUCUAUGGAUUGUAAACUUCUUUUGUAGAGGAAUAACAGCAGCUACGUGUAGCUGAGAUGCAUGUACUCUACGAAUAAGUAUCGGCUAACUCCGUGCCAGCAGCCGCGGUAAUACGGAGGAUGCGAGCGUUAUCCGGAAUUAUUGGGUUUAAAGGGUGCGUAGGUGGCGUAUUAAGUCAGUGGUGAAAAGCUGCAGCUCAACUGUAGUCUUGCCGUUGAAACUGAUAUGCUAGAGAGGAGACGAGGUAUGCGGAAUGUGUGGUGUAGCGGUGAAAUGCAUAGAUAUCACACAGAACGCCGAUUGCGAAGGCAGCGUACCAGGCUCCGUCUGACACUGAAGCACGAAAGCGUGGGGAUCAAACAGGAUUAGAUACCCUGGUAGUCCACGCAGUAAACGAUGAAUACUAGAUUUUUGCGAUAUAGUGUAAGAGUCUAAGCGAAAGCGAUAAGUAUUCCACCUGGGGAGUACGCCGGCAACGGUGGAACUCAAAGGAAUUGACGGGGGCCCGCACAAGAA
rnacentral:rRNA from 1 species